UUCUAUGUUAGUGAGUUGUUACAGCUUUUAUUUUUUUAUUUAUUUUUUUUUUUUUGGUGCAGGGGGGAGGCAUGAAACAAAGCCAAGAAACACAUUAUCGUACCCUCUAGUGAAUGAAGACACUUGGUUCAGGUGCCUGUUUGAUCUACUGCAUGCCUUUGCAAGGGACAGCAAAGCGAAACAAAUCUAUGAAAUGGUGGUUGAGAAGAAAAGAUCCAAUUCUACAGAAGGAAUAAGACAUUUUCUCUAA
rnacentral:lncRNA from 1 species